rnacentral:ribozyme from 1 species
UGGAGGAGGGUCCAUGUUAUUAGGAUCAGACUGGAUUUUUGUGUCUGAUGAGAAUGUUACUGUCUGUUUGACUGCGUCUGGUGAGGUCAUGGAGGACGGAAGAGAGAGGAAUUUAGUGAGGUUGGCACCCUUUGUGGGUCUGUUGAGAAAUUUUAUUUAUUGUUUUUUGAUGGAAAUGAACUC